rnacentral:rRNA from 1 species
UACGUAGGGGGCUAGCGUUGUCCGGAAUCAUUGGGCGUAAAGCGCGUGUAGGCGGUCCGGUAAGUCCGCUGUGAAAGUCGGGGGCUCAACCCUCGGAUGCCGGUGGAUACUGUCGGGCUUGAGUACGGAAGAGGCGAGUGGAAUUCCUGGUGUAGCGGUGAAAUGCGCAGAUAUCAGGAGGAACACCGGUGGCGAAGGCGGCCCACUGGUCCGGUACUGACGCUGAGGUGCGAAAGCGUGGGGAGCAAACAGG